ACCGCUCACGAACAUAGGAACACUGUUCGCGAAAGUUUCGCGAACAACGUUCGCGAAAUUCGCGAACA
rnacentral:pre_miRNA from 1 species